GCAGAAUUACAGUGUACAAGGAAAGGCAACGAGAGAUAUCGAAGAAGAAGAAGAAGAAGAAGAAGAUGACGAUGAUAUGGUUGGAAGCGGUACUUCCACUUGGAAUCAUAGCGGGAAUGCUUUGUGUGAUGGGAAAUGCUCAGUAUUACAUCCACAAAGCCGCUCAUGGCCGGCCGAAGCAUAUUGGGAAUGAUUUAUGGGACGUGGCCAUGGAAAGAAGGGACAAGAAGCUCCUGGAGAAGUUGUCUCCUUCUACUUGAAAAACCAAUCCUUUUCACUUCCUCUUGACACCUGUGUAAUGUAUAUUACAUAUAUUUCAGCAACCUAUAUCUAUUGGGAACAUAGGUCCCACAUUAUGUUGGGCACCUGGUGACACGGCAAGUGCUAAGGAUUGCUACUUACCCAACUACGGUUGUAGUACUAACUCAUUAAUUGAAAUGACUCCUACAACAUUUGACACAUCAACACGUAUCUACCUUAUAUUGAGAACAAGGAAGCUUUGCAGAUCAAAUCUUGAAGAAAUAAAAUGUUCGUCUCAUGCUGAAGAAACUCCAUUCUCAAAUAUUUUCAUUGUAUCUGAUAUGAACAAGGUCUUAAAAUUGUGUAGGAAAAACCUGCCUUUUUUUUCCAGUGAUUUUUUUUUUUUUUUUUUGGGGGAACUUCUUAAUGAUUACAUGUGCUGGAGCUUUGUGUGAUUUGGAGGUCAUUAUAUCUAAUUAGAUGUUCUCCUUUCUGUGGUUAUUACCUGAAACCAUUGUGAGCUUAGUUUUUAAUAUGUAUCUCAAUUCCUAUAGCUGGAAACAAGAGGGACUAUUUUUGGAUUUAAAAAAAAAAAGUUUGGCUUUGUAAUA